GGUUGGUGACGCGCGCGCAGUUCUCCAGGCGCAGUGCGCGCAGGCGUGGGCAGCAGCGCAGCAGGCGCGCCAGGCAGUCGUCGGUAACGUGGCCGCAGCCCGAGAGCGUGACGGACGCCAGGUUGGGGCACCUGUGAGGAGAGUGCGGUGACCCGGGGCUCACUGGCUUGUUAAAGCUACCCAACCGCCCCAUGGGACCGAGUGGACUCAUUUACCGAGGAGGACUCGGGCCCUGCGAGGUCACUUCAUCCUGGCCCAGGUACUGCAGCUCCAAAUCGUGGGGAUUCUGUAAGAGCUUGCUACCUGUUGACUGAGGAGGCCCACGAGUUGAGAAGAACUAGCAAGAGUGGUACAAAACUGCAGGUCAUUGGGCUGGCCACCAGGUAUUCCCACCCACCAGAAGCUGGCUGUUGUACUCACCCGGAACCAUGGUGCACCACCACAGCGGCGAGGUCAUACAGGCAGCUCUCCGGGCCACUGUUCUCAGGCUACAGAACAAGGAAGAAGGAGCAGUGGUCAAUGACAUCAGUAUCUCGAUGACCUCUACCCUCUCCAUGUGAUGACAAUCUUACUGAAGAGCCAUUUUUUCACCAUGCUAAAAAGGUAACCACCUUACCUCUAGUAAGUAGCAUUUCAUGUCUAGGCCUCUCAGUGGAAAUUCUACGUAUGUAUCAACUUUAUUUCUUAAAUAUGCUGUCCAAUGAAAUCUUUUCAAAUGUAAGCAUAGCACCUGGAGGACAGAGAUGCGGUCAAAGAUUGUGAACACCUAAUUUACCUUUCAGUCAAAGUUUGAUACUACUAUCAGUUCAGUAAAUAACAUUUUAGCUGCCCUAUCAAUCAUUCUUCCAUGCAUACCUUAUGCAUUCAUUCUGUAAGGGGUUUAGCUUUUACUGAAAAUCCUAGAGAAAAAUACAGAACAGUUCACAUAGUGUAAAGUUAUAGACAUGGUCUUAGCAGUCAAGCACUUUCCCAUUGAAAUUGCUUCAUAACUCAAAAUUCAACACUCACCUUGGGUAGUUUUUGAAUCCAAAACUUUUUUGUGGACUUUUGUUUCUUUUUGCAUUUAUGGCACAUAUAUAACUCUGUCUCAUCAAGUUCUUCUAAGUCGGUAAAACUGCGAAGACAAUCUAAACAAAUUGAUUUUGGCAGCAUUAAAACAAGAUGCCUUUUGUAGAGGCAAUGUACUGUAGAAAAAAGACCCAGGUUUAAAAUCUCAGCUUUAUUAGCUAUACGACCUUAGAAAAGUUAACCUUUCUCAAUUGCAAACUGGAGACAAAAAAUAAUACCUACUUUGAAGAACUAUUAUAAGGAAGAGAAAUAAUGUGUAGAGCACCUGGCAUCAUGCCUGACAUCUGGUGAUGAUCAAUUGUGUUGGUUUUACUAUUAAUGAUAAUUCAUCUGGAUAAUUCUGAUAAAAUGGUUUCCUGAUGAAUUUAAAGUUUCAAUUGUAGUUUUCUGUCAAUAUGUUACAUUAUACAGGACAAAGCUCCAAACUCAUAAAAAAAAGUCAAAUUUAGAUAAUUUAAAAAUAAACAUAGAUCACAGAAGGCUACACUAUCAACCUUCUCUGUCCAGACGCUGUACUCUCAGUUCCUAGAUAAAUCACAGCUACAUUUUUUUUCAUUUAAAGAUGUAAUUGUGUAACCUGGGGUUUAGUAAACUACAGUCCUAAAACAUCCAGCCAGCCACCUGGUUUUGUAAAUAAAGUUUCAUUGGAACAGA
rnacentral:lncRNA from 1 species